UCCAUUUGCCUUCCAGCUAUCUUGUACUGGAAACCUUUCCAGCCUCCAAAAUGGCGCCGAUCGUUUUUGGACCGCCCACAGAGACCUUUUCCUUGGUCUCAUGUGUGCUGUCAUUACUUUUGGCUACAUUGGGAUCAGCUGAGCUUGUCAGCUGGGUGGAUUAUUUUCCUUCUGCUGACGCCCAGGUCAUGUGUCUGCACUGGUGGCGCUUUGAUUGGUCAAUCAUUGCCGUGGUGGCAGAUUUAAAGCCCAAGCGCUGUGUUAGGCGCUCCAGCUGAGACCAGACCUAAUUAAUGCAAGGAAAGGCUGCUGUAUGCACAGCUAUCUAGGUGGCUCUGCCUUUUCAUCUUUGGACUUUGUCCUAAUCAGAGCGGAUGCCGCUUU